rnacentral:rRNA from 1 species
CCUACGGGAGGCAGCAGUAGGGAAUCUUCCACAAUGGGCGAAAGCCUGAUGGAGCAACGCCGCGUGGGUGAAGAAGGUCUUCGGAUCGUAAAACCCUGUUGUUAGAGAAGAAAGUGCGUGAGAGUAACUGUUCACGUUUCGACGGUAUCUAACCAGAAAGCCACGGCUAACUACGUGCCAGCAGCCGCGGUAAUACGUCUGUGGCAAGCGUUAUCCGGAUUUAUUGGGCGUAAAGGGAACGCAGUCGGUCUUUUAAGGCUGAUGUGAAAUCCUUCGGCUUAACCGGAGUAGUGCAUUGGAAACUGGGAGACUUGAGUGCAGAAGAGGAGAGUGGAACUCCAUGUGUAGCGGUGAAAUGCGUAGAUAUAUGGAAGAACACCAGUGGCGAAAGCGGCUCUCUGGUCUGUAACUGACGCUGAGGUUCGAAAGCGUGGGUAGCAAACAGGAUUAGAUACCCGUGUAGUC